UCCUGUUGCUCAAGGCCCUGUGUAGCAAGACGGCUUCGGGGUAGGAGUGCAAUCCUACUUUCAACUCAGGCUUUCAGAUCUUACAGCACAAGCCACACUCUCUGCAGACUAGAAUUAACACUUCAAGGGCAGAGAUACUAGUUAAUUAAAGUACUUUUAAGAUUAAGUUAACCAGAAGCACAAGAGAUGCAGGGAGCAGAUGAGACCAGCUGUCAACUCAGCAAACACAGAGAGGUUUUGCUAACUUUUCAACUGAAACAGGUUUGCAUAUGACAGCGUUAUUCAGCACAACUCCCUGAAGUACAAGGAACAUAAAACAGGAGCUAGACAAAUCAUUGAGAUUAUUGUUUAUGGCAUGCUCAAAAGCAGGCUUCAGUCGUUCACAGAUAAACACUGCUCUCUGACGACAUUAGUUGCAGUGGCAACUGCUUGGCUGCCAUCCUAGUUGAACUUAAUACCUGCAACAGAGGCUGUUGACAGGAGAUGGGUCAACAACAGUUUUGGAAGACUCCAAGAAAAGGGCCAGCUUAAACGCAGACUUCAUUAGACCACAACUCUGCCAAGCUCGAUGCAGAGAGCGGCUUACGUUUAACAGAAGAGCAAAGGCUGCGGCGGGGAGGGUGGGAAACCGUCCUAAGCAGCUUGACUCCAACCCAAAGGCCGAGGGAAAAGAAAAGCUACGUCGAUUACCCGCAUCGGUUUUGGAGGAUCUGCUCCAUCACCUUCCCUUGGAUUGAGUACUCACAGACCUCCCCUGAUCGCUGUGCCCAGUCAAGGAUAAUCGUGACUGGCCUCGCAGUGACUUCGGC